UCGGCGAGGCUGAUGAGGAAAAGCACCAGCCAACGCUGAUCUCUCCACUCGUUCCACAGCUGCCCUUUGGACAGCUACCACGUACAUGGACAGGAGUCUUGGAACCCAGCGUCAGGGUUGCUGCAGCCAGGAAUGCUGGCGCUGAGCUUGGUCUAUGAGACUUGUGCCAGCACUGUCAGAUCUCAGUCUGAUCGACCCUGGGUACUUGGAAUCAGCCCUGUACACCUGGUUCCCAGAGCUGUGUCAUGGACUCAGAGCGGACGAGGUCACGCCAGCUGGGGCUAUUUCUGACACUCAGACCUGUUGACAGUUUCCAAAUGUCCCCCACUAGCAAGAGAACCUACCACGCUGCCGGCUAGCUGCUUCACACUUGGUAGAAGAGACAACGGCGGGGGUUGCAAAUGAAACUGAAAUGAAAUUGGAUACAAAAAGCUCCUCAGAGAUUUUGGCAUCUGGAACUUGCUG